CCGGAUGUUAGCGGCGGACGGGUGAGUAACACGUGGGUAACCUGCCUGUAAGACUGGGAUAACUCCGGGAAACCGGAGCUAAUACCGGAUAGUUCCUUGAACCGCAUGGUUCAAGGAUGAAAGACGGUUUCGGCUGUCACUUACAGAUGGACCCGCGGCGCAUUAGCUAGUUGGUGGGGUAAUGGCUCACCAAGGCGACGAUGCGUAGCCGACCUGAGAGGGUGAUCGGCCACACUGGGACUGAGACACGGCCCAGACUCCUACGGGAGGCAGCAGUAGGGAAUCUUCCGCAAUGGACGAAAGUCUGACGGAGCAACGCCGCGUGAGUGAUGAAGGUUUUCGGAUCGUAAAGCUCUGUUGUUAGGGAAGAACAAGUGCGAGAGUAACUGCUCGCACCUUGACGGUACCUAACCAGAAAGCCACGGCUAACUACG
rnacentral:rRNA from 1 species